rnacentral:rRNA from 1 species
ACACGGGGGGCGCAAGCGUUAUUCGGAAUUAUUGGGCGUAAAGGGCGCGUAGGCGGUCUUGUCGGUCAGAUGUGAAAGCCCAGGGCUCAACCCUGGACGUGCAUUUGAAACAGCGAGACUUGAGUACGGGAGAGGAAAGCGGAAUUCCUGGUGUAGAGGUGAAAUUCGUAGAUAUCAGGAGGAACACCGAUGGCGAAGGCAGCUUUCUGGACCGAAACUGACGCUGAUGCGCGAAGGCGUGGGUAGCGAACAGGAUUAGAAACCCCAGUAGUCC